rnacentral:rRNA from 1 species
GGGGAAUAGCCCGAAGAAAUUCGGAUUAAUGCUCCAUGGUUUAAUUGGAUGGCAUCAUUUGAUUAAUAAAGAUUUAUCGGUAGAAGAUGGGCAUGCGUAUCAUUAGCUAGUUGGUGUGGUAACGGCAUACCAAGGCGACGAUGAUUAGGGGUCCUGAGAGGGAGAUCCCCCACACUGGUACUGAGACACGGACCAGACUCCUACGGGAGGCAGCAGUGAGGAAUAUUGGUCAAUGGAGGCAACUCUGAACCAGCCAUGCCGCGUGCAGGAUGACGGUCCUAUGGAUUGUAAACUGCUUUUGUACAGGAAGAAACCUCGCUACGAGUAGCGAUUUGACGGUACUGUAAGAAUAAGGAUCGGCUAACUCCGUGCCAGCAGCCGCGGUAAUACGGAGGAUCCGAGCGUUAUCCGGAAUUAUUGGGUUUAAAGGGUUCGUAGGCGGUCAGAUAAGUCAGUGGUGAAAUUUCUUAGCUUAACUAAGACCCGGCCAUUGAUACUGUUUGACUUGAAUAGUAUGGAAGUAACUAGAAUAUGUAGUGUAGCGGUGAAAUGCUUAGAUAUUACAUGGAAUACCAAUUGCGAAGGCAGGUUACUACGUACUUAUUGACGCUGAUGAACGAAAGCGUGGGGAGCGAACAGGAUUAGAUACCCUGGUAGUCCACGCCGUAAACGAUGGAUACUAGCUGUUCGGUUUUCGGACUGAGUGGCUAAGCGAAAGUGAUAAGUAUCCCACCUGGGGAGUACGUUCGCAAGAAUGAAACUCAAAGGAAUUGACGGGGGCCCGCACAAGCGGUGGAGCAUGUGGUUUAAUUCGAUGAUACGCGAGGAACCUUACCAGGGCUUAAAUGUAGAUUGACAGGUUUGGAAACAGACUUUUCUUCGGACAAUUUACAAGGUGCUGCAUGGUUGUCGUCAGCUCGUGCCGUGAGGUGUCAGGUUAAGUCCUAUAACGAGCGCAACCCCUAUUGUUAGUUACCAGCGAGUAAUGUCGGGAACUCUAGCAAGACUGCCGGUGCAAACCGAGAGGAAGGUGGGGAUGACGUCAAAUCAUCACGGCCCUUACGUCCUGGGCUACACACGUGCUACAAUGGUCAGUACAGAAAGCAGCUACCUGGCGACAGGAUGCGAAUCUCAAAAGCUGAUCACAGUUC